CGUUCGCAAUACUUUAAGUAGUCUCCAAUGUCAUUAAUAAGAAGAAAAACUGAAGCGCACCAAAGUGAUCUCAAAGGAUAAAUAUUUUUGAAACUUUUAUUUCGUAUAAAAUAUUCACUCAGCUAAUGUUAAACGUAUAAUAUUUCCCAAAGUUCUUUGGCGCAUGUGUAAGUUACUCAUAUUUUUUUGCUUGUCGCUCACGUCUGUUCCUUGUCGUCGGUCGCAUUAGCUAAGCUUUUUGCUGCUAGGCAGCCUUUACUCCACCAUUGCAUUUUGUGUUUCUUCGCCCUCUCUGUUGUCAACUGACACAUAACACACAAACUUCAAUUACAACUGAUUCUGAUACCAAAAAAAUCAGAACGAAUUGCCAAACAAUCAGUAAACGCCAUCCACCAGCUGAACAACCGUCAUCGCCUUGUUGAGUAUUUCUGAAAUCGACACCCGACGCAUAGCAUUCCGCAAAUAGCCAAUCAUCAUGUGUGUGAAGGUGUUGUUGUAUGAACUUCAAAUUACACGCAUACACACGCAUCUACCUUUUACCAGCAGUGAAAUCUGGUAUGCACUUGAAAUCGCAUACACAGCCGUCAACAACAACCGUAGCAGUAAAAACACAUAACGCCUUCCCUUUCAACCUUCUUUCAUUGAGCACAUUCGCAGCGACAAUCAAACCAGACGCACAUCCUUAACAAGCGCACCACUACAAGUGCAUACAUGCGAAUAUAUUGCUAAUGUAUUGUGUACAUCGUUCAUCGUAUUGUCGGGCCGUCACUUUCAAGCAGACGCCUUUUAUUGCCAGAAGUGGCCAGCUGCCAACUGUCAGCACUUCAGUAGCCUUUUCUAUGUUCGAUCGUGUUGCGCACAACUCAAUUAUCGCUGCUGCCAUUUUGCUGCUUCAAACGACUUUCACUUUCCACUGCAGUUUGGUUAUAUUAAUUGAAAUUGUUUAGCACGGCAGUAGCUUGAAAGCCAAGAGUCGAUAAGAUAAAAUAAAGAAAGAAAUAAAUAUCAUAUGAGAAUUUAAAUAAGAUUUAAAAUUUAUUAGGCAUUAGAAAUGGCUUUUAAAGUCUAUCAGUCAAGUCUAUGAACUGUGGGUGUAAUUAGCAAAUAUACA